UACGUAGGGUGCAAGCGUUAAUCGGAAUUACUGGGCGUAAAGCGUGCGCAGGCGGCUAUGCAAGACAGAUGUGAAAUCCCCGGGCUUAACCUGGGAACUGCAUUUGUGACUGCAUGGCUAGAGUGCGGCAGAGGGGAUGGAAUUCCGCGGUGUAGCAGUGAAAUGCGUAGAUAUGCGGAGGAACACCGAUGGCGAAGGCAAUCCCCUGGGCCUGCACUGACGCUCAUGCACGAAAGCGUGGGGAGCAACAGG
rnacentral:rRNA from 1 species